AUUGAACGCUAGCGGGAUGCUUUACACAUGCAAGUCGAACGAGUGGCGGACGGGUGAGUAAUAUAUCGGAACGUGCCCAGUAGCGGGGGAUAACUAUUCGAAAGAGUGGCUAAUACCACAUUCUCUUUGAGCGGCCUAUAUCGGCUUGGCUUUUUGGGGGGGUAAAGGCUCUCAAAGGCAACGAUCCGUAGCUGGUUUGAGAGGACGAACAGCCACACGGGGAAGAGGACACGGCCCAGACUCCUACGGGAGGCAGCAGUGGGGAAUUUUGGACAAUGGGGGAAACCCUGAUACAGCCAUCCCGCGUGUAUGAGAAGGCCUUCGGGUUGUAAAGUACUUUUGGCAGAGAAGCGGUAGCUGAAGAAGAAGCACCGGCUAACUACGUGCCAGCAGCCGCGGUAAUUC
rnacentral:rRNA from 1 species